AGACGAGCAACUACACGAGUUGCACAGGUUGCUCCCUCAUUCAUUGCUACUGCUGAAAAUGAUGCACCACGGCGAACAAGAGGGGCUCUUGGAAAAAGAUUAAGGCAAUAUGUUUAUGGAAUUUACACAGAUGAACAUACUAGAAUAACUAUUUUGAAUCCCGGGAGAACUUCGGAAGUACUUAUCUCUCAAGGUGGGCCAACUCAAGAAUCAAAGGCCAAAGAAGAGUGCUCCAAAGAAGAAGACAGUAGGUAUAGCUGCAAAACAGCAAUUCAAAAAGAACCCAACACCAAUUCCAUCUUAACCAACUGAUCAAGGAGAGCAAUAGUGAUUAUAUGGACCAACACAUGACACAUGCUAGAAUAAAAAUAGCCGUUGUCAAGAAAAAGGAAAAGGAGGUGACAGAAAGGCCAGUUAAAGAACUUGCACAUCCAGUUCGAAAGAGUGCUCGGAUUAUGAAUCAAUUCAAAGCUCCAAGAGGAAAAGGAGAUUGGGGUGUUGUGCAUAUUGACUAAUGGGAGGGUGCUGGACAUGGUCUCUUUUUAUGUGGUGCUGAUCUCUUUUUAUAUUUUCUUUUUUAGGAGGGUGCUGGAUAUUGUAUCUUUAUUGAUGGUAGUUGCUGCCAUUGUUUUUUAAGGAGGGUGCAUAUUGCCAUUGUUUU